UGCCAGCAGCCGCGGUAAUACGUAGGGCGCAAGCGUUGUCCGGAUUUAUUGGGCGUAAAGGGCUCGUAGGCGGUUUGGUAAGUCGGGUGUGAAAACUCAGGGCUCAACUCUGAGACGCCACUCGAUACUGCCAUGACUAGAGUCCGGUAGGGGAGUGCGGAAUUCCUGGUGUAGCGGUGAAAUGCGCAGAUAUCAGGAGGAACACCGACAGCGAAGGCAGCACUCUGGGCCGGUACUGACGCUGAGGAGCGAAAGCGUGGGGAGCAAACAGGAUUAGAUA
rnacentral:rRNA from 1 species